rnacentral:rRNA from 1 species
AGAAUCAACGCUGGCGGCGUGCCUAACACAUGCAAGUCGCACGAGAAAGGAGAGCAAUCUCUGAGUAAAGUGGCGCACGGGUGAGUAACACGUGAAUUAUCUACCUCCGAGUGGGGAAUAACCUAGAGAAAUCUGGGCUAAUACCGCAUAACACUUACGAGUCAAAGCAGCAAUGUGCUUGGAGAGGAGUUCGCGGCCGAUUAGCUAGUUGGCGGGGUAAUGGCCCACAAGGCGAUGAUCGGUA